rnacentral:lncRNA from 1 species
UAGUGGAUGACAUAAGAAAUGGGAGAUACACUAGCUAUUCCAACCAUUGUUUUGUUUUGUUUUUGAGAUAGGGUCUCACUCCCAUUACCCAGGCUGGAGGGUAGUGGUUAUGAUCUCGGCUCACUGCAGCCUCCACCUCCCAGGCUCAAGCAAUCCUCCUGUCUCAGCCUCCCAAGUAACUGUGACUACAGACAUUCGCCACCACACCUGGCUAGUUUUUGUAUUUUUUGUAGAGAUAGGCUUUUGCCAUGUUGCCCGGGCUGGUCUCAAACUCCUGGGCUCAAGUAAUCUGCCUGCCUCGGCCUACCAGAGUGCAGGGAUUAUAGGUGUGGUGGCACCUGGCCCCAACCAUUGUUUUGAGUAAAAUAUUGAAGAAAGAAUGUGAGCAUGUGAGCGCCAGAGUUGGCCAGACCCAGAAGCUGCAGAUGCCACCACGAACCCCGUGACCUUGAGCCAGUUACGUAAUCUCCCCACACCGCAGCUUCCUUGUCUAAAAAGUGAGCAUCAGAAGAGUAUCUACGCCUCACACAAUUAAGGAUUAAAUGGUGACCACCGACUGCAGACUGUAUUAACUGAAACUGGCCACAGCAAUGUUUCCUAUGUGCUUUUCCAGAAUCCUGCCACUUUUCAUCAAGAGCUGAAGUCUAUUCCCCUUCCUUCUCAACCUAGGUGAGACUUUGUGACUAUCUCCAACCUGUAGAAUGAGGUAGAAAUAAUGCUGCAUAACUUCAGAGACUAUGUCAUAAAAGGCCGUAUGGUUUCUGCCUGGUUCUUUUUCUCUUGUGACACUUGCCCUUGGAGACUCUGCCCACUGUGCUGUGAGGAAGCCUAAACUAGCACACAUGGAAAAGGCCACAUGGAGGAGCCCACCUGGAGAGGAACUGAGGCAUCCUUGGAUAAUGGCCAGCAUCAUCUGGCUGAGCCAGACAUGUGCGAACAAGCCUUCAGAACCUAAGUUUAGGUAUUUCCAGUGCCUAGACUUGAAGCUUUCAGCUGAGGCAGCAGACACUGUAGAGCAGAGCCAAGCCAUUUCCACUGUGCCCUGUUCAAAUUCUUGGCCACAGAAUGUAUAAGCAGAAUAAAUGACUGUUUUACCCAUAAAGGUUCUGGGGUGUACUUUGUUAUACAGCCAUAGUAACUAAAACGGCCUUAUACCUUUAUUUUAUUUUUUAUUUUUUGAAAAAG